UACGUAGGGGGCAAGCGUUAUUCGGAAUCAUUGGGCGUAAAGAGCUCGUAGGCGGCUUGGUAAGUCAGGUGUGAAAUCUCCACGCUCAACGUGGAGGGGCCACCCGAAACUGCCAUGGCUUGAGUCCGGUAGGGGAGUGUGGAAUUCCCGGUGUAGCGGUGAAAUGCGCAGAUAUCGGGAGGAACACCCGUAGCGAAGGCGGCACUCUGGGCCGGUACUGACGCUGAGGAGCGAAAGCGUGGGGAGCAAACAGG
rnacentral:rRNA from 1 species